UUUAAUAGCACAUUUCUCUGCCUUAUGUCCUCAUUGAUGACAAGCACAUGAUGCAAUGUAUCAUAUGUAGUAAUGGGAUGUGUAAUAUUCACAGAUUGCUGCCAUGUGUUCUUUUAGCUUUCUGUCACCCUCCCUGUAAGAAUGGUGGCCACUGCAUGAGAAAUAAUGUGUGCGUCUGUCGUGAAGGAUACACUGGUAGGAGAUUCCAAAAAAGUAAGACAUCACUAAAUG
rnacentral:lncRNA from 1 species